rnacentral:lncRNA from 1 species
UAUGGUGGCGUGCACUUCUCGGCCACGUAUUGCUCUCGGCUUGCAACACGGCGAAGGAAAGUGUGUGUUAGAAUCUGAUACCCUCGUUGUGCGCAGCAGUUUUCGGAUAUUAUGAGUACAAUACAAACUUGCACCGUAUCAAUAAUAACGUAGAUGAAUCUUGUAGAAAACUUCAAAUGAUCAGUCGAAGCAACCGCGACAAGAGAAUAGGAUUUUGGUAAAGCCGACCGCAAAUUCUUUAAGCACAACUGUAACGACUCAGGUUCAUCAGCCGAGUUAAUCUUAAGACGAGUUCCCAAAUCUGCAGUUCUAAUCAGCCCCAACCCUGACACCCAAC